UAUUGGUCAAUGGGCGAGAGCCUGAACCCGCCAAGUCGCGUGUGAGAUGACUGCCCUAUGGGGUGUAAACCUCUUUUGUAUGGGGGGAAUAGGCUUUACGAGUAGAGUGAUGACAGUACCAUACGAAUAAGCAUCGGCUAACGCCGUGCCAGCAUCCGCGGUAAUACGGAGGAUGCGAGCGUUAUCCGGAUUUAUUGGGUUUAAAGGGUGCGUAGGCGGCAUUAUAAGUUAGUGGUAAAAUAUUGGGGCUUCACCUCACUACGCCAUUAAUAAUGUAGAGCUAGAGAACAGACGAGGUAGGCGGAAUAAGUUAAGUAGCGGUGAAAUGCAUAGAUAUAACUUAGAACACCGAUAGCGAAGGCAGCUUACCAGACUGAGUCUGACGCUGAUGCACGAGAGCAUGGGUAGCGAACAGGA
rnacentral:rRNA from 1 species